UGAACGCUAGCGGCAGGCUUAACACAUGCAAGUCGAACGGUAACAGAAAAAGCUUGCUUUUUGCUGACGAGUGGCGAACGGGUGCGUAACGCGUAUGCAACCUACCUUCUUCUAAGGAAUAGCCCAGAGAAAUUUGGAUUAAUACCUUAUGAUAAUAUUUAUUCGCAUGUUUAAAUAUUUAAAACUCCGGUGGAAGAAGAUGGGCAUGCGUAACAUUAGUUUGUUGGUGAGGUAAUGGCUCACCAAGACUACGAUGUUUAGGGGGUCUGAGAGGAUGAUCCCCCACACUGGUACUGAGACACGGACCAGACUCCUACGGGAGGCAGCAGUGAGGAAUAUUGGUCAAUGGACGAAAGUCUGAACCAGCCAUGCCGCGUGAAGGAUGACGGCCCUACGGGUUGUAAACUUCUUUUGUAUAGGAAGAAACCCCUCUACGUGUAGAGGGUUGACGGUACUAUUCGAAUAAGCACCGGCU
rnacentral:rRNA from 1 species